rnacentral:rRNA from 1 species
UACGUAGGGGGCUAGCGUUGUCCGGAAUCAUUGGGCGUAAAGAGCGCGUAGGCGGCCAGAUAAGUCCGGUGUGAAAGUCACAGGCUCAACCUGUGAAUGCCGCUGGAAACUGUCUGGCUAGAGUCCGGAAGGGGCGAGUGGAAUUCCUGGUGUAGCGGUGAAAUGCGCAGAUAUCCGGAAGAACACCUGAGGCGAAGGCGGCUUGCUGGGCAUGAUCUGACGCUGAGGCGCGAAAGCGUGGGGAGCAAACAGG